rnacentral:lncRNA from 1 species
UAGUUAUGCAGUUUUGUGGGUGUUAUGUGUAUUUGUGUAGCAUCGCAUCAAGAUUUCCUGCAAUAUCGCUCCCAGCACCCAGGUCCAAUAUCUCCAAGAGCUUUUUACCGGUGGAGUCAAUAUGGGGGAGAUGAUCCAUCCUUUAGAUGGAGGAGACAAGCCCCAUAUGACACCACUGGUAGAAAGAGGGGUGCUGGAAAGCGGUUUAACUCUUUUAAUUUCUACCAGUAGCUUUUUUAAACUACUGGUAGAAUUAUCUUCUUUUUUAUUUAUAAA